rnacentral:lncRNA from 1 species
GAAAUUUUUACUAUUUUUUUUUUCUAUAAUUCUUUGUUUACUACACGCACGCGCACGCGGAAGAAAAAGCUGUUUGAAACUUCAGUGAUUUGUCGUGAGAUGGACCUAAAUUUGGAUUUUUUUACCAAUUUCAUAAAAAGUCAGAUUUCUGUAUCAGUUCAAUGGUGGAUCAAUCAAGAUUUCCUUACCUGAAUAAGAAAAACACGAGUCUGGAAUCCGAGUCCCCAAGAUCAUUCGCCUGUAAUUAUGAUUUCGGAGAGAGCAGUGAUCAGCGAUUUACAUACUCCCGACAAGCGUCAUUCCGUCAAUCGACCUCCAUUGAUGAGCCUCAUACUCCAUUAUCAAUAAAUACUCCAUGGAUGAAAAGAUAAUAUUCAUUUUAAUGAUUUUUCAAGGGUUCAGGUCUGGGAACAAGUAGAUGAAACGACUUUUUGUCUUGGUUUCACUCAAUGUCACGUAUUCUACCAUUGAGUUGUGUAUUGGCCUCUUCACGGGACGAGUGGGUAUGUAAAUUUCCAUAUGUUUUAUAAUUGUUUAGUUUUAGUAUUAAUAGGCAUAAUACUAAACACUUGAACGAUUUGGUUAAUAACAAAAAACAUUAUGAGAUUUUACUAAAUUUUAUGCACUAUCAAUUAAUCUAUAUGACAUUCUUGAUAUGAAUAAUAAAGCCGGACUCGUAGAGAAAGCCUUGAUUUUUUUGAUACAUAUUUACGUGAAAUUCAUAAAAGAAGGUAGCAGACCAUUUGGGAGUACCAUGCUUUCUUCCAAUUUAUCUAGGCAGAUGUUUUCUCGUAAGAUCAAAAUUUGAAGCAUAACAAUAGUAGACUAUAUUGUUUUUUUAUGUCCAAUUUCAAUGUCUAUUAUGAUUCUGUGGAGAGAAGAGGACAAAUUGGUAACUUUUGGGUUUGUUUCUCUGCAGAAUGCUUAAGCUUACGUUACUGUUUAGC